GCGUGGAGACAGGUGGUGCAUGGCUGUCGUCAGCUCGUGUCGCGAGAUGUUGGGUUAAGUCCCGCAACGAGCGCAACCCCCACCCCUAGUUGCCACCGGGUAAAGCCGAGCACUCGAGGGGAACUGCCAGCGUCAAGCUGGAGGAAGGCGGGGAUGACGUCAAGUCAUCAUGCCCCUUACGUCCUGGGCUACACACGUGCUACAAUGGCCAGUACAAAGGGAUGCGAGACCGCGAGGUGGAGCUAAUCCCAAAAAGCUGGUCUAAGUUCAGAUUGCAGUCUGCAACUCGACUGCAUGAAGGAGGAAUCGCUAGUAAUCGCGCAUCAGCCCGGCGCGGUGAAUACGUUCCCGGGCCUUGUACACACCGCCCGUCACACCACGAAAGCUUACUGUACUCGAAGUCGCUGAG
rnacentral:rRNA from 1 species